GACGUAGGGCGCGAGCGUUGUCCGGAUUUAUUGGGCGUAAAGAGCUCGUAGGCGGCUUGUCGCGUCGACUGUGAAAUCCCGCGGCUCAACUGCGGGUCUGCAGUCGAUACAGGCAGGCUAGAGUUCGGUAGGGGAGACUGGAAUUCCUGGUGUAGCAGUGAAAUGCGCAGAUAUCAGGAGGAACACCGAUGGCGAAGGCAGGUCUCUGGGCCGAUACUGACGCUGAGGAGCGAAAGCGUGGGGAGCGAACAGG
rnacentral:rRNA from 1 species